UGGCUCAGAUGGUAAAGUGUCUGCCUACAAUGCAGGAAACCCAGGUUCAAUCCCUGG
rnacentral:tRNA from 1 species